CCUACGGGUGGCAGCCGUAGGGAAUCUUUCACAAUGGGCGAAAGCCUGAUGGAGCAACGCCGCGUGCAGGAUGAAGGCCUUCGGGUUGUAAACUGCUUUUAUUAGCGAGAAAUAUGAUGGUAACUUAUGAAUAAGGAUCGGCUAACUACGUGCCAGCAGCCGCGGUCAUACGUAGGAUCCGAGCAUUAUCCGGAGUGACUGGGUGUAAAGAGUUGCGUAGGUUGCGUAAUAAGUAGCUAGUGAAAUCGGGUGGCUCAACCAUUCAGACUAUUAGCUAAACUGUUAAGCUCGAGACCGUUAGGGGUAACUGGAAGUUCUAGUGUAGGAGUGAAAUCCGUAGAUAUUAGAAGGAACACCAAUAGCGUAGGCAGGUUACUGGGACGGUUCUGACACUAAGGCACGAAAGCGUAGGGAGCAAACGGGAUUAGAUACCCUGGUAGUC
rnacentral:rRNA from 1 species